GACGAACGCUGGCGGCGUGCUUAACACAUGCCAGUCGAGCGGUAAGGCCUCUUCGGGGGUACACGAGCGGCGCACGGGUGAGUAACACGUGGGUGACCUGCCCUCAGCUCUGGGAUAAGCCUGGGAAACUGGGUCUAAUACCGGAUAUGACCUUUCCUCGCAUGGGGUUUGGUGGAAAGUUUUUUCGGCUGGGGAUGGGCCCGCGGCCUAUCAGCUUGUUGGUGGGGUGAUGGCCUACCAAGGCGACGACGGGUAGCCGGCCUGAGAGGGCGACCGGCCACACUGGGACUGAGACACGGCCCAGACUCCUACGGGAGGCAGCAGUGGGGAAUAUUGCGCAAUGGGCGGAAGCCUGACGCAGCGACGCCGCGUGGGGGAUGACGGCCUUCGGGUUGUAAACCUCUUUCGACCCCGACGAAUUUGGACGGUAGGGGUAGAAGAAGCGCCGGCCAACUACG
rnacentral:rRNA from 1 species